rnacentral:lncRNA from 1 species
CUCAGCACUGGUCUGUCCUGAUUUGUUUUUGGGGAGGGCCAGGUAGGGUUUAAACAGCAUCUCUUUCAUAAGAAAGCAUUGAGCUAGCACUUCAAGAAAAAUGCUGCAGCCCUAGCUGCGACUGGCAGUGCCACAUAUAAAUCAAAAUGUGGAUGUAAUGCACUGGCAUGUACGUCUGUAAAGCAUUUCUCUCAUUUGUAUACAGCAAGCAAAUAUGGACCCUGCGUGUAAAAGGGAAAAAUCCUUAUGGGGCCUUGAUCCUGCAAAGGCCUUUGAUUCUGGGGCCUGACCAUGAUCUGCCUUUCAGGAUUGUUCUUUCAUCAGUGGUGUUUUCAUUUUCUGUCCUGAAGUUCUAACAGCAGCGUCAUGGGAGCGUCCGCGUGACCGGUCGCAGCCAAAGCCCAUGGCAAACAGUCGGUGUCUCUUUGGAUAAAACCUUCAAGGAGGCCUAGCACAGAAGGCCUAGUGGUAGUUGUCUGUGCCCCUGAGGAAAACUAUGCAGUUCUGGUGUUUCUACAGUAGAAUUUUUGGAAAAAUGAUCCAGAAGGAGAAACUUCAAAGUCUUGGACCACCAGUAGUUUGCAUGUUUCUCUUGACAAGAAUACGAGUUGGAGAAAUAGCCUGGGAAAACGUUAGAAUCUCUCCUGGAUUACUCUGUUCCGUAGCCAGCGAGAAGGAGCCUGCCAGACUUCUUCCCACUUCACCUGGAUUGCUGUCCUAUUUCGUUAUUUGUUUAUUGUACAAAGGAAAGUAUUGCGCACACACAGAGUGUAAAAUACUGGCAAGAAGGAUGAAUCAUUUCUGCAGGCUAUCCAGAAAAAAAGAUGUAUCCAGAAAAUGAACUAGGUGAUAAAGCAGCUGGAAGGGAAGCAGUGAGAGAGAUUUGCACACAGGGAGCAAAGGGCAGUCGGGAAGGCAGACCGCGUGACGGUGGUGGGCAGGAGAGCGACUCCUCCCCCUCAAAAUGCCACCCUGUAAUUGUGCCUUGUGCUGCUCCUCUGCCGCAGAGGARAGAGGCUGGCAAAGUCCAGGGAGCAGCAGAUUCUUCACCUCACCCCUCAUCUGGGUUCAAAGUGCAGCGUGCAGGAGCUCUUCGUGUAUAAAACGAUAAAACUCCUUUCUCACAGUGGUUUUGGCUGCAACGGUGGAUUCUGGGCUGUGUUUCUCCUGGCUGGGACUUUAUUAUCAAUUACCUUGGCCAGGAAGGUCAUGAUCCCUUAAAAAGAAAAAAGCAAACCCACCAUUUAUUGCUGGUUUUCAGCAGUUAGCUGACAGAUAUCAAAUGUGUAUGUGCUUUUGUUAUACACACACACACACCCCCGCACGCACGUGUGCGUCAGGGUACAGGGCAUUUCCUGGGGAUAAAUGACUAGAGUACUGUGGGUACAAGAUGCAGCCUAAGAGACCUAAACUGGUUGUUAAUGCAUAGGAAAUGCUCCGUGCUGAGACUCUUACAUUACAAGUUGACAGUAAAAAGCAGGCAGGGCUGCGUGUCUCUGUCUCUUGAGGAGAAGCAGCGUCCACGGCCACCUGGAGUCAUUAAGUGCCUGAAUCCUCCCUCCGCUUCCCCAGCGGUGCGUGUGCUGGGGGCAGCUAACAACAGAACUGGCUUCCUUUUGAAUCCAUGCUUUCUGUCAAUUGCUUGCUAUUAACAAUUUGGAUUGAAUUAGGGAAAAUCAAUAAAAUACAACCUCAACUGGGUUGAGAUUGUUUU